UCCGCAUCUACUCCAAGCUUCUCCUUAUCUGUCGGGCAAGGUCAAAUUAGGAAUCUCUCUUGUGCAUGUAAAUCUUAAUUAUGUUGAAAGAUUAGCUAUCUCAAAUCCUAAGUUCGGAUUUUUUUAGAGAGUGCACACCAACUGUUUGAUCAUUUUCCGCAACAUCUCAUCCAUGCAAAUGAUGCUUCUCACUCUACCAGUUAAAAUCCAACAACUCCAAAGCAAUAAGUGCAACAUUUUCCCUCUCCACUCAGACUUCUUACCUGGUAAAAGCAGAAGAGAAAAAACAUUCACUAAAUUCACCAAUAAACGAACCACUACCUCUAUUACUUGCUCUCACAAAUUGGUUCGAGAUCGGAAGUUGGACAAUCAUGUUGUGAAGAACAACAAUAUUAGGUUUGUACAGAAGCUUAAAACUCUGCUACUUUCUAAACCAAAGCAUUUCAUGCCAAUCAGUGUUCUCUCAAAAUGUCGCAGCUAUUUGACCCUUUCUAAACCUUGCUCUAUUCUUUCAAUGAUUCAUCGUUAUCCAACAAUCUUUGAGCUCUUCACUAUACCAACACCGCCGACACCGUUCAACGCUACGAAACCACUUUCUCAGCUGUGUGUUCGACUCACUCCGGCUGCUGCUGCCCUGUUUCGUAAAGAAUUGGAACUGAAAUCUGCCGCUUCAGUUUUCUUGGCUGCUAAGUUACAGAAGCUUCUAAUGCUUACGACACAUCAUAGGGUAUUGCUCUCCAAGCUAGUUCACAUUGCCCCUGAUCUUGGUUUGCCUGUUAAUUUCCGAUCUCGCCUUUGCAAUGAGUACCCUGAUAAGUUUCGUAUUGUGGACACUUCUUACGGUCGUUCUCUUGAUCUUGUUUCUUGUGAUCUAACUCUAGCUAAUGCUUUACCAUCUCGUGAAGUUGACCAUGUUUCACUUGGAUUGAUUGUAGAUAGGCCAUUAAAGUUCAAGCAUUUAAAACUUCGAAGGGGGCUUAAUUUGAAGAGACGGCAUGAGGAGUACCUUAUAAAGUUCAAAGAACUACCGUAUGUGUGUCCUUAUACGACAAAAGUGAAUGGUUUCUAUAAAGAGUCAAUUAAUGCCGAGAAGAGGGCUUGUGCUGUGGUGAGAGAAGCUUUGGGGAUGAUGGUUGAGAAGAGGACUUUGGUCGAUCACUUGACACAUUUUAGAAAGGAGUUUGGCCUGCCAAACAGAUUAAGAGCUAUGCUAAUAAGGCACCCUGAGUUGUUCUAUGUGAGUAGGAAGGGACAGAGAGACACCGUCUUUCUGGUAGAAGGCUAUAGUGAUGGAGGCAAACUUUUGGAGAAGGAUGAAAUGCUAGUCGUGAAAGACCAGCUGAUGAAGCUUAUUUGGAAGGGGAAGCAAAUUAGAAGAGAAAAAAGGAACGCUUUUGCCAAAGGCGAUGUGAAUGAGUAUUUCAAUGAUGAGGAAGUUGAAGACAACGACGACUACUUUGAACACUCUGAUGGUUUAGAUAAAUUGUUUGAACUUGGAGAUGGGAAUGACACCGAUGACGAUGAUGAUGGAGAUUUUGGAUUUGAGGAUGGCUCCGACUGUGAUGAAAGCACCAAAUUAUGGGCUAUUCAAGACGAAACACAGUUCUGGAAUAGUUCUGUGCAAAUUGAUACCUGUCGAGAUUCACCACCUUGGUAGACUCGACUCUCUCGUGUAGCACUACCCAUUCUGGUGAUUGCUACUUAGGAUGGUUUGGUAUAUUAUUGUAUAAGCAUAAUGUAAAAUAUAGUGCGUACUAAAUGACUGGAUUUGUAAUGCUUGUGUUAGAUAUGCUUGCAUUAGUUAUGUUUAUAUUUUUCUUAUGCAUUGUUUGGUUUGAUGUAUUAAAAAUAACAUGAAUUCAAUAACUUCUUAAAAAGAAUUUUGUUUUUUUACAAAAAUAUCAUCCUUAUAUAUGUGAAUUUUUUUUUGAGGGAUAAUAGUGUCUUUAAUCAUGUUAAUGCAUGUAUCGGAUCUAUUGCAUUACUAAUAGCAUGAAUUUUUGAGGUAUUAGUAAUACACAAUAAAGUGUAUAACUAAUGCAACCAUUAGUUAUAUAUAGGGUGCAAAAGUAUACCAAAUAAGGUAUUAGUAAUACAUAUUAUUAGUAAUAUACAUUAAAUUAAUGCAUGCAUUAAUUUUUCAAUACACUUUACUAUAGUUAACACUAGACAUUGGCACAAUAUAUGUCUAUGUUUUUGUUUCAAUUUAUGUGACACAGAUAUAAUUUAGAUAAUUAAUCGUUAAAAUAAUUUAAAGUUUCAAUUAUUGUGAUUUAUAAUAUUUUUUCUUCUAUUCCAAUUUAAGUUACACUGAUAUAAUUUUGAGAGUUAAUCAAAUAUUUUGUAAGUUGUUAAUUAUGUGAUUUAUAAUGCUUUUAACAUAAUUUUUAAAUAAGACAUUAAUACUCUCUUCGUCCCGAUUUACGUGUCUUCUUAUUUUUAAAUAAUAUUAGUCUAUACUACGUGCUUUGCACGUGUAUUUAGCGUUGGUAAAUAGUAAAUAUAUAUAAAAAAUAAAUAUUGCCUAUAACAUAGAAUAUACUGAAAAGGUACAUAUAUACCCCGAACUUUAAUAAACGGUAUAAAUAUAUCUUCCGUCCAAAGUCCUUACCGUUAAUGAAAAGGUACAAAUAUACCCUUAUCACUGACGACAGGACACAUGUCAUGUCUUAUUCGUUUGACCUUUUUUAAUUUAUUUUAACCCCAAUUAAUUAAAACAGGCCCUAAUUAAAUUUCAUACCCGGUCCUAAUUUAUCCGACCCGACCAGAGACAACGGACGCGUCUCAAUUCACGCGUUUGUUCAUUCUUCUACUCUCUCACUAACACGAAAAACCCUAAAUGGGUUUGAGUACCUAAGAAAUUCGCUGACCUAAGUACAGAAAAUCAAGAAGUGGUAAGGAUAUGAAUUUGAGUACGAGUGUUGUAUGCAUAAAUGGCUUGCCUGGUGUUGGAAAGACAAACCUCGCUUUGGAAUUCGCUUACAGGUAUUCUCAGAGGUACAAGAUGGUCUUGUGGAUAGGGGGUGAAGCUCGCUACUUUUGACAGAACAUAUUGAAUUUGUCUCUAAAUUUGGGACUGGAUGUGAGUGCAGAUGCAGAGAAGGAACGAGGGAGGAUAAGAAGUUUCGAUGAGCAAGAAUCAGAAGCAUUUAAGAGAAUUAAAAGGGAGAUAUUCCACGACAUGCCAUAUUUGAUAAUCAUAGCCAAUUUAGAGACUGAGAAGGAGUGGUGGGAAGGGAAGGACCUUCAUGAUUUGAUACCAACUAACACUGGUGGUACCCAUGUCAUUAUCACAACACAACUCAACCGGGUAAUGAACUUUGAUCCGUUGCCGCUGCAGCCAUUGACAACACCUGAAGGACCUUCGAAAUCCAUACUUGAUUCUCUAUGGUAGACGGAGAAGAAACAUGAAUCCAACCUUCUAGAGUGUGAGAGAGUUAAUUUCUUUUCUUUUUUUUUGUGUGUUGGUGAGAAUUAAGUGUGAGAGUGGGAGAACCAACAAGCGCGUGAAUAGAGACGUGUCUGUUGUCUCUUCAAUUCUCCAUCAGAUCGGGUCGGAUCGGAUAAAAUAGGACCGGGUAUGAAAUUUAAUUAGAGACUGUUUUAAUUAAUUGGGGUUAAAAUAAAUUUAAAAGGUCAAACGAAUACGAACAUGACAUGUGUUCUGCUCUUAGUGAUAAGAGUAUAUUUGUACCUUUUCAUUAACGGCAAGAGCAUAUUUGUACCCAAAGUAUAACGAAGGGUACGUUUGUACCAUUUAUUAAAGUUCAAGGAUAUUUAUGUACCUUUUUCGU
rnacentral:lncRNA from 1 species